rnacentral:rRNA from 1 species
AGAAGCGAACCUGCGAAGGCAAGCGGAUCUCUUAAAGCCGUUCUCAGUUCGGACUGUAGGCUGCAACUCGCCUACACGAAGCUGGAAUCGCUAGUAAUCGCGGAUCAGCACGCCGCGGUGAAUACGUUCCCGGGCCUUGUGCACACCGCCCGUCACACCAUGAGAGUCUGUAACACCCAAAGCCGGUGGGAUAACCUUUAUAGGAGUCAGCCGUCUAAGGUAGGACAGAUGAUUAGGGUGAAGUCGUAACAAGGUACC